CAAUAAAAGAUAAUAAACUAUUUAGCUUCAAAGAAAUAACAAUAGCGGAUGAUAUGCUCUUAGGAUAUGCAUCCUAUUUUCCUUCUCUCUUUCAUAAACUCAUUCACUUUAAUUAAACCCGUAGAUUUAAUUAUUGGUAUUAAUUAAUCGAGAGAUUAAUUAAUUUAAUAAACUUGAGGAUUUACCUACAAACCCACUUACUCAAAAUUAAUUCAAGAGAAUUUUAUCUCGAGCGAUUAAUUCAAUCAUAAAUAAUGAAUUCCAAAUAAGGACUAAUUAAUUUUAGUCUAACACUCAUUUGAUAUUUGAAAGGCCCAAAAGUCAAGGGAGCAAAAUCAUUAUUUCAAUUACCUACUGAGUCAAACUAGCUGCUAUACGUAACUUCUUUCUGAUCAUCAUUUAUCUCUAUUCUCUUCCUAACUCUCUCUCUCUCUUUCUUUUUCUUUUCUAAAUUUUCGCCACACAAGGUGCAGCCUCGAGUUUCUUCACGAUCGGGAAUUCAAACAACAUCCGAUUGUCACGAAAUUUUAACCAAAGGUAGAAGACUCAUAAAGGAUCAUUCUUACCGAAGGAGAUCAAAUUUUAACGGUUAGAUUUUCCAGAAAUAAUUUCGGAAGUGGCUGUCGGUUUCUACAGUAGCAGCGUCGAUUUUCUAUACGAUCGGGGGUUCAAACGUAGUCCGAUCGUUCUGAAAUUUUAAAGGAAGGAAGUUGGGGUUUCCUGAAGAUAGAAUACUAGCUUUGCGAAGAAGCUUUAGCUCAUUUUUGUAACAUCAUAAAUUAGAUAUAAUUAAUACAUUUCUCAUUUGAAGAGAAAUGACUAUAUUCUGUAAAUAGACAUUUAAUAUCCCUCUGCUUUAUAAAUGUACAUGGACAAUUAUUUUAUCGUUUCA